rnacentral:rRNA from 1 species
AAGGUUGACCUCGAAUCAGGUAGGAAUACCCGCUGAACUUAAGCAUAUCAAUAAGCGGAGGAAAAGAAACCAACAGGGAUUGCCCUAGUAACGGCGAGCGAAGCGGCAACAGCUCAAAUUUGAAAUCUGGUCUUCUGGGCCCGAGUUGUAAUUUGCAGAGGAUGCUUCUGGCAAGGUGCCUUCCGAGUUCCCUGGAACGGGACGCCAUAGAGGGUGAGAGCCCCGUACGGUUGGACACCGAGCCGUUGUGUAGCUCCUUCAACGAGUCGAGUAGUUUGGGAAUGCUGCUCUAAAUGGGAGGUAUAUCUCUUCUAAAGC